CUUAAGCAUAUCAAUAAGCGGAGGAAAAGAAAACUAACAAGGAUUCCCCUAGUAAACUGCCGAGUGAAAGCGGGAAAGAGCUCAAAUUUGAAAUCUGGCGGUUCUGCCGUCCGAGUUGUAAUCUGGAGAAGCGUUUUCCGUGCCGGACCGUGUACAAGUCCCUUGGAACAGGGCGUCAUAGAGGGUGAGAAUCCCGUCUUUGACACGGACUCCCGGUGCUCUGCGAUGCGCUCUCGAAGAGUCGAGUUGUUUGGGAAUGCAGCUCAAAAUGGGUGGUAAAUUCCAUCUAAAGCUAAAUAUUGGCGAGAGACCGAUAGCGAACAAGUACCGUGAGGGAAAGAUGAAAAGCACUUUGGAAAGAGAGUAAAACAGUACGUGAAAUUGUUGAAAGGGAAACGCUUGGAGUCAGUCGCGUCUUCUGGAACUCAGCCUUGCUUCUGCUUGGUGCACUUUCCAGUUCGACGGGUCAGCAUCGGCUUUGGGAGGCGGACAAAGGCGCGGGGAAGGUGGCAGCUCCGGCUGUGUUAUAGCCCCGCGUUGUACGCGUCUCCCGGGACCGAGGAAUCCGGCGCUCGCCGCCUGGGAUGCUGGCGUAAUGGCUUUAAGCGACCCGUCUUGAAACACGGACCAAGGAGUGCUACAUGCUCGCGAGUGUUUGGGUGGAAAACCCGAGCGCGCAAUGAAAGUGAAAGUCGAGACCCUUUGCGGGGGCACCGACGCCCGAGCCUGAAGUUUACGGACGGCCUUGCGGUAGAGCGAGUAUGUUGCGACCCGAAAGAUGGUGAACUAUUCCUGAGGAGGGCGAAGCCAGAGGAAACUCUGGUGGAGGCUCGUAGCGGUUCUGACGUGCAAAUCGAUCGCAGGACUUGGGUAUAGGGGCGAAAGACUA
rnacentral:rRNA from 1 species